rnacentral:rRNA from 1 species
GACGAACGCUGGCGGCGUGCUUAACACAUGCAAGUCGAACGGAAAGGCCCUGCUUUUGUGGGGUGCUCGAGUGGCGAACGGGUGAGUAACACGUGAGUAACCUGCCCUUGACUUUGGGAUAACUUCAGGAAACUGGGGCUAAUACCGGAUAGGAGCUCCUGCUGCAUGGUGGGGGUUGGAAAGUUUCGGCGGUUGGGGAUGGACUCGCGGCUUAUCAGCUUGUUGGUGGGGUAGUGGCUUACCAAGGCUUUGACGGGUAGCCGGCCUGAGAGGGUGACCGGCCACAUUGGGACUGAGAUACGGCCCAGACUCCUACGGGAGGCAGCAGUGGGGAAUAUUGCACAAUGGGCGGAAGCCUGAUGCAGCAACGCCGUGUGCGGGAUGACGGCCUUCGGGGUGUAAACCGCUUUCGCCUGUGACGAAGCGUGAGUGACGGUAAUGGGUAAAGAAGCACCGGCUAACUACG